GCCCCGAUAAUUUAACUGCUAAUACUUGUUACCAUACCUGUGACAUGCUGUAUUAUUUUUCAGUAUCAAGUAUUUUGUAGCUGUCUUUUGCUUCCUGCUUAGUGAGCACUGUAGGAUUUUGUAUCUUGUUUUAAACACUGCACACAGUUCUACUUUUGUUGACUGAAAUAUUUCCCCACCACCCUGCAGCUCCUGACUAGCAGAGCAGGCUUCCUUCAUUCUGCUGUCCCCUACCUCAGUGCACCUGCUGUAGGGACAGGAUUGUACUCAAGACUCUGCACCUGUUUGGACUCCUUUCUUAUUGCAGACAAGGGAACUCCCAGCUGAAUGCUCAUUUCUCAUUGAAGGAGGGAUUUCUAUGAUCAUCAACCAACCAGCAAGAUAUCGUUAAAAGGAAAAUGAUAUUUACAAACAGACAAGAUUGAAAAAUUAUUUAUUUGCUAGAAUUUUUUUGAAUUUAAUAAAAAAAUGGCAAUAACUGA